UGUGAGGGUUGCUGGAGGUAUCAGAAGUGCGAAUGCUGACAUAAGUAACGAUAAAGCGGGUGAAAAGCCCGCUCGCCGGAAGACCAAGGGUUCCUGUCCAACGUUAAUCGGGGCAGGGUGAGUCGACCCCUAAGGCGAGGCCGAAAGGCGUAGUCGAUGGGAAACGGGUUAAUAUUCCCGUACUUGGUGUUACUGCGAAGGGGGGACGGAGAAGGCUAUGUUGGCCGGGCGACGGUUGUCCCGGUUUAAGCGUGUAGGUGUGUGUUCCAGGUAAAUCCGGUUCACUUUAACACUGAGGCGUGACGACGAGGCACUACGGUGCUGAAGCAACAAAUGCCCUGCUUCCAGGAAAAGCCUCUAAGCAUCAGGUAACAUCAAAUCGUACCCCAAACCGACACAGGUGGUCAGGUAGAGAAUACCAAGGCGCUUGAGAGAACUCGGGUGAAGGAACUAGGCAAAAUGGUGCCGUAACUUCGGGAGAAGGCACGCUGACACGUAGGUGAAGUGAUUUACUCAUGGAGCUGAAGUCAGUCGAAGAUACCAGCUGGCUGCAACUGUUUAUUAAAAACACAGCACUGUGCAAACACGAAAGUGGACGUAUACGGUGUGACGCCUGCCCGGUGCCGGAAGGUUAAUUGAUGGGGUCAGCGCAAGCGAAGCUCCUGAUCGAAGCCCCGGUAAACGGCGGCCGUAACUAUAACGGUCCUAAGGUAGCGAAAUUCCUUGUCGGGUAAGUUCCGACCUGCACGAAUGGCGUAAUGAUGGCCAGGCUGUCUCCACCCGAGACUCAGUGAAAUUGAACUCGCUGUGAAGAUGCAGUGUACCCGCGGCAAGACGGAAAGACCCCGUGAACCUUUACUAUAGCUUGACACUGAACAUUGAGCCUUGAUGUGUAGGAUAGGUGGGAGGCUUUGAAGUGUGGACGCCAGUCUGCAUGGAGCCGACCUUGAAAUACCACCCUUUAAUGUUUGAUGUUCUAACGUGGACCCGUUACCCGGGUUGCGGACAGUGUCUGGUGGGUAGUUUGACUGGGGCGGUCUCCUCCUAAAGAGUAACGGAGGAGCACGAAGGUUGGCUAAUCCUGGUCGGACAUCAGGAGGUUAGUGCAAUGGCAUAAGCCAGCUUGACUGCGAGCGUGACGGCGCGAGCAGGUGCGAAAGCAGGUCAUAGUGAUCCGGUGGUUCUGAAUGGAAGGGCCAUCGCUCAACGGAUAAAAGGUACUCCGGGGAUAACAGGCUGAUACCGCCCAAGAGUUCAUAUCGACGGCGGUGUUUGGCACCUCGAUGUCGGCUCAUCACAUCCUGGGGCUGAAGUAGGUCCCAAGGGUAUGGCUGUUCGCCAUUUAAAGUGGUACGCGAGCUGGGUUUAGAACGUCGUGAGACAGUUCGGUCCCUAUCUGCCGUGGGCGCUGGAGAACUGAGGGGGGCUGCUCCUAGUACGAGAGGACCGGAGUGGACGCAUCACUGGUGUUCGGGUUGUCAUGCCAAUGGCACUGCCCGGUAGCUAAAUGCGGAAGAGAUAAGUGCUGAAAGCAUCUAAGCACGAAACUUGCCCCGAGAUGAGUUCUCCCUGAGACUUAAAGUCUCCUGAAGGAACGUUGAAGACGACGACGUUGAUAGGCCGGG
rnacentral:rRNA from 1 species